GGCUCAUCACAUCCUGGGGCUGAAGUCGGUCCCAAGGGUAUGGCUGUUCGCCAUUUAAAGUGGUACGCGAGCUGGGUUCAGAACGUCGUGAGACAGUUCGGUCCCUAUCUGCCGUGGGCGUUGGAUGAUUGAAGGGAGUUGCUCCUAGUACGAGAGGACCGGAGUGAACGAACCUCUGGUGUUCGGGUUGUCACGCCAGUGGCACUGCCCGGUAGCUAAGUUCGGAAUCGAUAACCGCUGAAAGCAUCUAAGCGGGAAGCGAGCCCUGAGAUGAGUCAUCCCUGACCCCUUGAGGGUCCUAAAGGGCCGUUGGAGACCACAACGUUGAUAGGCGGGGUGUGUAAGUGCAGCGAUGCAUUGAGCUAACCCGUACUAAUUACCCGUGAGGCUUAACCAUACAACACCCAAGAAGUGUUCU
rnacentral:rRNA from 1 species